rnacentral:rRNA from 1 species
UACGAAGGGGGCUAGCGUUGCUCGGAAUCACUGGGCGUAAAGCGCACGUAGGCGGCUUCUUAAGUCAGGGGUGAAAUCCUGGAGCUCAACUCCAGAACUGCCUUUGAUACUGGUGAGCUUGAGUCCGGAAGAGGUGAGUGGAACUGCGAGUGUAGAGGUGAAAUUCGUAGAUAUUCGCAAGAACACCAGUGGCGAAGGCGGCUCACUGGUCCGGUACUGACGCUGAGGUGCGAAAGCGUGGGGAGCAAACAGG